AUCCAGCUGACAAGUCCCAACUAGGACGAAACGCGCAUUCUGGAU
rnacentral:hammerhead_ribozyme from 1 species